GUGAAUUUUUAAGGGUGCUCUCAAUGAGACCCGAAACCACUAUUCAAACACUUUGUGAACUUGUCUAUAAAUGAUUGAACCAGUUUAGAUCCUUCGCGAGAAGGCUAACGGUUUGAUUAAACCCUAGUCGGAUUGAAGCAGUCCUUGAAAUGUAAAUUUAUAUAACGAAAGUA
rnacentral:misc_RNA from 1 species